rnacentral:rRNA from 1 species
GACGAACGCUGGCGGCGUGCUUAACACAUGCAAGUCGUACGGUAAGGCCCUUUCGGGGGUACACGAGUGGCGAACGGGUGAGUAACACGUGAGUAACCUGCCCACAACUUUGGGAUAACGCUAGGAAACUGGUGCUAAUACUGGAUAUGUGCUCCUGCUGCAUGGUGGGGGUUGGAAAGCUCCGGCGGUUGUGGAUGGACUCGCGGCCUAUCAGCUUGUUGGUGGGGUAGUGGCCUACCAAGGCGGCGACGGGUAGCCGGCCUGAGAGGGUGACCGGCCACAUUGGGACUGAGAUACGGCCCAGACUCCUACGGGUGGCAGCAGUGGGGAAUAUUGCACAAUGGGCGCAAGCCUGAUGCAGCAACGCCGCGUGCGGGAUGACGGCCUUCGGGUUGUAAACCGCUUUCAGCAGGGACGAAGCUUUUUGUGACGGUACCUGCAGAAGAAGCACCGGCUAACUACGUG